CGUAGGGUGCAAGCGUUGUCCGGAAUUAUUGGGCGUAAAGAGCUCGUAGGCGGUUUGUCACGUCUGCUGUGAAAACGCGAGGCUCAACCUCGCGCCUGCAGUGGGUACGGGCAGACUAGAGUGCGGUAGGGGAGAUUGGAAUUCCUGGUGUAGCGGUGGAAUGCGCAGAUAUCAGGAGGAACACCGACGGCGAAGGCAGAUCUCUGGGCCGUAACUGACGCUGAGGAGCGAAAGCGUGGGGAGCGAACAGGAUUAGAUACCCUGGUAGUCCACGCCGUAAACGUUGGGAACUAGAUGUGGGGUCCAUUCCACGGAUUCCGUGUCGCAGCUAACGCAUUAAGUUCCCCGCCUGGGGAGUACGGCCGCAAGGCUA
rnacentral:rRNA from 1 species